rnacentral:rRNA from 1 species
UACGGAGGGGGCUAGCGUUGUUCGGACUUACUGGGCGUAAAGCGCACGUAGGCGGCUUUGUAAGUUAGAGGUGAAAGCCCAGGGCUUAACCCUGGAAUUGCCUUUAAGACUGCAUCGCUAGAAUCGUGGAGAGGUGAGUGGAAUUCCGAGUGUAGAGGUGAAAUUCGUAGAUAUUCGGAAGAACACCAGUGGCGAAGGCGACUCACUGGACACGUAUUGACGCUGAGGUGCGAAAGCGUGGGGAGCAAACAGG